rnacentral:rRNA from 1 species
GACGAACGCUGGCGGCGUGCUUAACACAUGCAAGUCGAACGGUGAAGCGCCUUCCUUUUUGGUGGGUGUGGAUGAGUGGCGAACGGGUGAGUAACACGUGAGUAACCUGCCCCCUUCUUCUGGAUAACCGCAUGAAAGUGUGGCUAAUACGGGAUAUUCUGGGUCUGUCGCAUGAUGGGUCUGGGAAAGAUAUUGUUUCGGUGGGGGAUGGGCUCGCGGCCUAUCAGCUUGUUGGUGGGGUGAUGGCCUACCAAGGCGGUGACGGGUAGCCGGCCUGGGAGGGUGGACGGUCACACUGGGACUGAGACACGGCCCAGACUCCUACGGGAGGCAGCAGUGGGGAAUAUUGCACAAUGGGCGCAAGCCUGAUGCAGCGACGCCGCGGGAGGGAUGGAGGCCUGCGGGUUGUGAACCUCUUUCGCCAGUGAAGCAGGCCUGCCUCGUUUGUGGGUGGGUUGACGGUAGCUGGAUAAGAAGCGCCGGCUAACUACGUG